GAUGAACGCUGGCGGCGUGCCUAAUACAUGCAAGUCGAGCGAACAGAUGAGAAGCUUGCUUCUCUGAUGUUAGCGGCGGACGGGUGAGUAACACGUGGGUAACCUACCUAUAAGACUGGGAUAACUCCGGGAAACCGGGGCUAAUACCGGAUAAUAUUUUGAACCGCAUGGUUCAAUAGUGAAAGACGGUUUCGGCUGUCACUUAUAGAUGGAUCCGCAGCGUAUUAGCUAGUUGGUAAGGUAACGGCUUACCAAGGCGACGGUACGUAGCCGACCUGAGAGGGUGAUCGGCCACACUGGAACUGAGACACGGUCCAGACUCCUACGGGAGGCAGCAGUAGGGAAUCUUCCGCAAUGGGCGAAAGCCUGACGGAGCAACGCCGCGUGAGUGAUGAAGGUCUUCGGAUCGUAAAACUCUGUUGUUAGGGAAGAACAAAUUUGUUAGUAACUGAACAAGUCUUGACGGUACCUAACCAGAAAGCCACGGCUAACUCCGUGCCAGCAGCCGCCGUAA
rnacentral:rRNA from 1 species